rnacentral:rRNA from 1 species
AACGAACGCUGGCGGCAUGCCUAACACAUGCAAGUCGAACGAGACCUUCGGGUCUAGUGGCCCACGAGUUCGUAACGCGUCGGAACCUGCCCUUAGGUUCGGAAUAACUCCCCGAAAGGGGUGCUAAUACCGGAUAAUGUCUACGGACCAAAGAUUUAUCGCAUUUGAAUGGUCCCUCGUUGGAUUAGCUAGUUGUUAGGCUAAAAGCCUACCAAGGCGACGAUCCAUAGCUGGUCUGAGAGGCUGAUCAGCGACACUGGGACUGAGACACGGCCCAGACUCCUACGGGAGGCAGCAGUGGGGAAUAUUGGAAAAUGGGCGGAAGGCUGAUCCAGCACUGACGCGUGAGUGAUGAAGGCCUUAGGGUUGUAAAGCUCUUUUACCCGUGAUGAUAAUGACAGUACCGGGAGAAUAAGCUACGGCUAACUCCGUG